rnacentral:rRNA from 1 species
UAACGACUCUCGGCAACGGAUAUCUCGGCUCUCGCAUCGAUGAAGAACGUMGCGAAAUGCGAUACUUGGUGUGAAUUGCAGAAUCCCGUGAACCAUCGAGUCUUUGAACGCAAGUUGCGCCCGAAGCCAUUMGGCCGMGGGCACGUCUGCCUGGGCGUCACG